CAGCAGCCGCGGGAAUACGUAGGGUGCAAGCGUUAAUCGGAAUUACUGGGCGUAAAGCGUGCGCAGGCGGUUAUAUAAGUCAGAUGUGAAAUCCCCGGGCUCAACCUGGGAACUGCAUUUGAGAUUGUAUGGCUAGAGUGUGUCAGAAGGGGGGUAGAAUUCCACGUGUAGCAGUGAAAUGCGUAGAUAUGCGGAGGAAUACCGAUGGCGAAGGCAGCCCCCUGGGAUAACACUGACGCUCAUGCACGAAAGCGUGGGGAGCAAACAGGAUUAGAUACCCCUGUAGUCCCUGUCUCUUAUA
rnacentral:rRNA from 1 species